UACCUGGUUGAUCCUGCCAGUAGUCAUAUGCUUGUCUCAAAGAUUAAGCCAUGCAUGUCUCAGUGCAGGCCUUUAUACGGUGAAACCGCGAAUGGCUCAUUAAAUCGCCUAUGGUUUAAUUGAUCGUGCCCGUUAAAUGGAUAACUGUAAUAACUCUGGAGCUAAUACAUGCCUCGGUGCCCUGAUCCUCACGGGGAUGGGUGCACUCAUUAGAUCAGAAACCAAUCGUGUUCAGCCGUGGCAACAUGGCUGGGCGCGUUGACCUUCUGGUGACUCUGGAUAAUUGUUACAGAUCGCAGUCGGCCUUGAGUCAGCGACGGGUCCUUCAAAUGUCUGCCCUGUCAACUUUCGAUGGUAGGUGACCUGCCUACCAUGUUGAUAACUGGUAACGGGGAAUCAGGGUUCGAUUCCGGAGAGGGAGCCUGAGAAACGGCUACCACUUCAAAGGGAGGCAGCAGGCGCGCAAAUUACCCACUCCCAGCACGGGGAGGUGGUGACGAAAAAUGUCGAUGCGGGACUCCUUCAAGAGGCUCCGUAGUCGGAAUGAAUGGACUCUAAAUCCUUUCACGAGGAUCAAUUGGAGGGCAAGUCUGGUGCCAGCAGCCGCGGUAACUCCAGCUCCAAUAGCGUAUAUUAAAGCUGCUGCAGUUGAAAAGCUCGUAUUUGGAUCUCAGUAGCACUGUUGCCUGUUGGUCUUUGGGUGGAUGGUUGGCGUAGCUAUCGUCGUUGUCGUUAGUGGUGCAUGGGUGUGACCCGUGUUACUGAAGAUGCGGCGUUGGCUGCGGCGGCAGCUGUGCAUUCCAAGCUAGCGGGGUAGCGGUGUGAAGCCACAGGUGUAAGCGAGUGUCGGGCGACGUUCUGCGGUAGUGGGGCUUGUCGGCUCGUUUGCAUGCCUCUGGAUGCCCUUAAGAAGGUGUCUGUGGGCGGAUGGCACGUUAACUUUGAACAAAUUUAAGUGCUCAAAUCAGGCCGAUGUUGCCUGAAAAGUUUUGCAUGGAAUAAUGGAAUAGGACUUCGGUUCUAUUUCGUUGGUUUUCGGAUCCGAAGUAAUGAUCAAAAGAGACUGGCGGGGGCGUUUGUAUGGCUGCGCUAGAGGUGAAAUUCAUGGACCGUAGCCAGACAAACGAAGGCGAAAGCAUUCGUCAAGCAUGUUUUCAUUGGCCAUGGGCGAAAGUCAGAGCCUCGAAGACGACCAGAUACCGUCUUAGUUCUGAUCAUAAACGAUGCCAACUGA
rfam:Mesocestoides corti genome assembly, scaffold: MCOS_contig0002724